UUGAACGCUGGCGGCAGGCCUAACACAUGCAAGUCGAGCGGAUGAAGGGAGCUUGCUCCUGGAUUCAGCGGCGGACGGGUGAGUAAUGCCUAGGAAUCUGCCUGGUAGUGGGGGAUAACGUCCGGAAACGGGCGCUAAUACCGCAUACGUCCUGAGGGAGAAAGUGGGGGAUCUUCGGACCUCACGCUAUCAGAUGAGCCUAGGUCGGAUUAGCCAGUUGGUGGGGUAAAGGCCUACCAAGGCGACGAUCCGUAACUGGUCUGAGAGGAUGAUCAGCCACACUGGAACUGAGACACGGUCCAGACUCCUACGGGAGGCAGCAGUGGGGAAUAUUGGACAAUGGGCGAAAGCCUGAUCCAGCCAUGCCGCGUGUGUGAAGAAGGUCUUCGGAUUGUAAAGCACUUUAAGUUGGGAGGAAGGGCAGUAAGUUAAUACCUUGCUGUUUUGACGUUACCAACAGAAUAAGCACCGGCUAACUUCGUG
rnacentral:rRNA from 1 species